rnacentral:rRNA from 1 species
CACGGGGGGAGCAAGCGUUGUUCGGAAUCACUGGGCGUAAAGGGCGUGUAGGCGGUCAGGUAAGUGGGAUGUGAAAGCCCUCGGCUCACCCGAGGAUCUGCAUCUCAAACUGCCUGGCUUGAGUAUGGGAGAGGAUGAGGGAAUUCCUGGUGUAGCGGUGAAAUGCGUAGAUAUCGUAAGGAAGACCAGUGGCGAAGGCGGGUCUCUGGACAGUUCCUGACGCUGAGGCACGAAGGUCAGGGGAGCAAACGGG